rnacentral:rRNA from 1 species
GUCGAACGGCAGCACGGGGGCAACCCUGGUGGCGAGUGGCGAACGGGUGAGUAAUACAUCGGAACGUGUCCUGUAGUGGGGGAUAGCCCGGCGAAAGCCGGAUUAAUACCGCAUACGCUCUACGGAGGAAAGGGGGGGAUCUUAGGACCUCUCGCUACAGGGGCGGCCGAUGGCAGAUUAGCUAGUUGGUGGGGUAAAGGCCUACCAAGGCGACGAUCUGUAGCUGGUCUGAGAGGACGACCAGCCACACUGGGACUGAGACACGGCCCAGACUCCUACGGGAGGCAGCAGUGGGGAAUUUUGGACAAUGGGCGCAAGCCUGAUCCAGCAAUGCCGCGUGUGUGAAGAAGGCCUUCGGGUUGUAAAGCACUUUUGUCCGGAAAGAAAUCCUUUGGCCUAAUACGUCGGGGGGAUGACGGUACCGGAAGAAUAAGCACCGGCUAACUACGUGCCAGCAGCCGCGGUAAUACGUAGGGUGCAAGCGUUAAUCGGAAUUACUGGGCGUAAAGCGUGCGCAGGCGGUUCGCUAAGACAGAUGUGAAAUCCCCGGGCUUAACCUGGGAACUGCAUUUGUGACUGGCGGGCUAGAGUAUGGCAGAGGGGGGUAGAAUUCCACGUGUAGCAGUGAAAUGCGUAGAGAUGUGGAGGAAUACCGAUGGCGAAGGCAGCCCCCUGGGCCAAUACUGACGCUCAUGCACGAAAGCGUGGGGAGCAAACAGGAUUAGAUACCCUG